UAUCUCUGUAGAGUCUGCAUAUCAAUAAGCGGAGGAAAAGAAACUAACAAGGAUUCCCCUAGUAACGGCGAGUGAAGCGGGAAGAGCUCAAAUUUGAAAUCUUCAAGGUUUGACCUUGACGAAUUGUAGUUUAAAGAAGUGUUUUCGGUUAGAGGAGUAGUAAAAGUUCUUUGGAAUAGGACAUCAUAGAGGGUGAGAAUCCCGUAUUUGACUAUUCUUUCUAGCUUUGUGAUACACUUUCAAAGAGUCGGAUUGUUUGGGAAUGCAGUCCAAAAUGGGUGGUAAAUUUCAUCUAAAGCUAAAUAUUGGCGAGAGACCGAUAGCGAACAAGUACCGUGAGGGAAAGAUGAAAAGAACUUUGAAAAGAGAGUUAAACAGUACGUGAAAUUGUCAAAAGGGAAGCGUUUGACACCAGUGUUGUUUUUUCCGAAAAUCAAUUAAAAAUUGAUUCAUGCCAGGUUGUAUUGACCUUAUCAGCUUGCAAUUUGGUUUUGGGUCUCUUUUUGAUGCACUUUUCGGUUAACAAGUCAACAUCAAUUUCCUUUGCUGUAAAAAGGUAAGAGGAAGGUGGCUUCAAUUUCGGUUGAAGUGUUUAUAGCCUUUUAUCUCUGCAGUCGGGGAGAUUGAGGUCUGCAGCGUAGAUCCUUCGGGGCUAGAUACAUUUAUGCUAAGUUAUAGCUUUUCAUAGACAACUUGUUGACUAUGUUUAGUCAUGUAGCUUACUCGUAAGUGCUAUUUUACCUACGCUUAGGAUGUUGA
rnacentral:rRNA from 1 species